AACGAACGCUGGCGGCGUGCCUAAUACAUGCAAGUCGAACGGGGAAAGUAGCAAUAUGAGUACUAGUGGCGCACGGGUGAGGAAUACAUGGGUAAUCUGCCUUCAAGUUUGGGAUAACCAGUCGAAAGAUUGGCUAAUACCGGAUAAGACCACAUGAACUGCGGUUCAAGAGGUCAAAGGUUUUUCGCUUGAAGAUGAGCCCAUGUGGGAUUAGCUAGUUGGUGAGGUAAUGGCUCACCAAGGCGACGAUCCCUAACUGGUCUUAGAGGAUGAUCAGUCACACUGGAACUGAGACACGGUCCAGACUCCUACGGGAGGCAGCAGUAGGGAAUAUUGCGCAAUGGGGGAAACCCUGACGCAGCGACGCCGCGUGAGUGAUGAAGGCCUUCGGGUCGUAAAGCUCUGUCGUAUGGGACUAACAAAAUGAAGGUACCAUGCAAGAAAGGAUCGGCUAACUUCGUGCCAGCAGCCGCGGUAA
rnacentral:rRNA from 1 species